CCUACGGGUGGCAGCAGUAGGGAAUAUUGCUCAAUGGGGGAAACCCUGAAGCAGCAACGCCGCGUGGAGGAUGAAGGUUUUCGGAUUGUAAACUCCUUUUGUUAGAGAAGAUAAUGACGGUAUCUAACGAAUAAGCACCGGCUAACUCCGUGACAGCAGCCGCGGUAAUACGGAGGGUGCAAGCGUUACUCGGAAUCACUGGGCGUAAAGAGCGCGUAGGCGGGAUAGCAAGUCAGAUGUGAAAUCCUAGGGCUGAACCAUAGAACUGCAUUGGAAACUGUUAUUCUAGAGUAUGGGAGAGGUAGGUGGAAUUCUUGGUGUAGGGGUAAAAUCCGUAGAGAUCAAGAGGAAUACUCAUUGCGAAGGCGACCUGCUAGAACAUAACUGACGCUGAUGCGCGAAAGCGUGGGGAGCAAACAGGAUUAGAUACCCGGGUAGUC
rnacentral:rRNA from 1 species